UACAGAGGGUGCAAGCGUUAAUCGGAAUUACUGGGCGUAAAGCGCGCGUAGGCGGCUUUGCAAGUCGGGUGUGAAAUCCCCAGGCUUAACCUGGGAACUGCAUUCGAGACUGCAUUGCUAGAGUAUGGUAGAGGGUGGUGGAAUUUUCCUGUGUAGCGGUGAAAUGCGUAGAUAUUGGAAAGACCACCAAUGGCGAAGGCAUCUACUGG
rnacentral:rRNA from 1 species